CCGUGCUGAGCGGGGAAUUAGCGGUGCCCUGUACCCGCAAUCCGCUCUAGCGGGGCUGAACGCCCUCCCGAGGAUCCGGCCUUCGGGGCCAGUACGCCGCGGGCAGCGUUGACGGCCAGGUCCCGCGCAACGACAGCCCGUGAAUCAGGUCAGGUCCGGAAGGAAGCAGCCUUAAGCGAUCGCCGUCGAGUGCCGCGGAUCAGCCUGACCUGAGCACGCCACGGCGGGCACGCCCGGAGGCUCUCUUACAAAGGAGGGCCGCACGG
rnacentral:SRP_RNA from 1 species